AGGUGGCGAUACAUGCGGCAGACCGGCAUUUCAAACAACAUCAGUAAGUCACCAGGGGGAGCUCUACUUGCUUUGGCUUCACUUUUGAGGAGCUGUUCCGCUGCCAUCUUUAUACAGUCUAUAGACCAGCCUCCUCUCCAGGAUACACGGACACGGUGGACCUCCCAUGCCUAGUGCAUGGUGACGGAGUGGGCUGCUGACUUCGUAAAGAAAGAGUUCACCAUUUUGGAGUAGGAUGCUGACGUGGAAGAAGUCAUGAUAAGAAGGUAAAUUUAGUUUGCGUCUAUGCUAACUAUAGCGCCCUCAUCAGUAUGUGACUCUAGAUUUUGUAUUUUGUUGUAGGUGCAUAUUUUCCUCAGAAAGGACCUUAAAUUGAAUCAUAACGUGUUAUAAAUAGGUAGAAAAUGAUUUUUAUUUCUCUCUGUAGGCAGCAAUUCCCUUUAAUGGCUGGAUAUUUACCUGUUGUUAGGUUAGGGACAUAGGUGGCUUCUUCCUUUACUCCUCUUUCAAACCUUCUGUCGUCUCUGGCUAAGAUUUCGUCGUUGUCUUCAAAGGAGUGUCCUUUGUCCUUCAGGUAUAGGUGGGCCGCUCAGUUAUUUUCUAAUGAGAUGUCUCUCCUGUGUUGGGACAUGCGUUUGCAAAUGUUUGGUUUCCACAAACACCAUCGAUUUACAACACAAAGUCUUAACGUAGUCUCCAAGAGGUUUCACACCUUGAGACCGGAGCCUCUCACUCUGAUACUUUGAUAUCAAAGCACCAUUCAUAGGGAAAGUGGUGAAGGGACAAACAGUCGUGCCCCUCACUGGAGGGGCUCCAUGACCUGGAUGACUGAGACCAAAUCAUUACGUCUUCACUUUUGAAGCUACACA